UACAGAGGGUGCAAGCGUUGUUCGGAAUUAUUGGGCGUAAAGAGCUCGUAGGCGGUUUGUCGCGUCUGCCGUGAAAGUCCGGGGCUCAACUCCGGAUCUGCGGUGGGUACGGGCAGACUAGAGUGAUGUAGGGGAGACUGGAAUUCCUGGUGUAGCGGUGAAAUGCGCAGAUAUCAGGAGGAACACCGAUGGCGAAGGCAGGUCUCUGGGCAUUAACUGACGCUGAGGAGCGAAAGCAUGGGGAGCGAACAGG
rnacentral:rRNA from 1 species